AUUGAACGCUGGCGGCAGGCCUAAUACAUGCAAGUCGAACGGUAACAGGAAGAAGUUUGCCUCUUUGCUGACGAGGGGCGGACGGGUGAGAAACGUCGGUGAACCUGCCUGAUGGCUGGGGUUAACUACUGGAAACGGUAGCUAAAACCGCAUAACGUCGCAAGACCAAAGAGGGGGAGCUUCGGGCCUCUUGGCAUCGGAUUUGCCCAGACGGGAUUAGCCAGUAGGUGGGGUAACGGCUCACCGAGGCGACGAUCCCUAGCUGGUCUGAGAGGGUGACCAGCCACACUGGAACUGAGACACGGUCCAGACUCCUACGGGAGGCAGCAGUAGGGAAUCUUGCGCAAUGGGCGCAAGCCUGACGCAGCCAUGCCGCGUGUGUGAUGAAGGCCUUCGGGUUGUAAAGUUCUUUCAGCGGGGAAGAAGGGAGUAAAGUUUAUCCCUUCGCUCAUUGACGUUACCCGAAGAAGAAGCACCGGCUAACUACGUG
rnacentral:rRNA from 1 species